UACGUAGGGGGCGAGCGUUGUCCGGAAUCAUUGGGCGUAAAGCGCGUGUAGGCGGCCCGGUAAGUCCGCUGUGAAAGUCCAGGGCUCAACCCUGGGAUGCCGGUGGAUACUGUCGGGCUCGAGUCCGGAAGAGGCGAGUGGAAUUCCUGGUGUAGCGGUGAAAUGCGCAGAUAUCAGGAGGAACACCAAUGGCGAAGGCAGCACUCUGGGACGUGACUGACGCUGAGACGCGAAAGCGUGGGGAGCGAACAGG
rnacentral:rRNA from 1 species